rnacentral:rRNA from 1 species
AGAGUUUGAUCCUGGCUCAGGAUGAACGCUGGCGGCGUGCUUAACACAUGCAAGUCGAACGAAGCAUAAAAAAUAAUCCUUCGGGUGCGUUCUGUAUGACUUAGUGGCGGACGGGUGAGUAACGCGUGGGGAACCUGCCCUGUACUGGGGGACAACAGUUAGAAAUGACUGCUAAUACCGCAUAAGCGCACAGGACCGCAUGGUCCGGUGUGAAAAACUCCGGUGGUACAGGAUGGACCCGCGUCUGAUUAGGUAGUUGGCGGGGUAACGGCCCACCAAGCCGACGAUCAGUAGCCGACCUGAGAGGGUGACCGGCCACAUUGGGACUGAGACACGGCCCAAACUCCUACGGGAGGCAGCAGUGGGGAAUAUUGCACAAUGGGGGAAACCCUGAUGCAGCGACGCCGCGUGAGUGAAGAAGUAUUUCGGUAUGUAAAGCUCUAUCAGCAGGGAAGAAAAUGACGGUACCUGACUAAGAAGCCCCGGCUAACUACGUGCCAGCAGCCGCGGUAAUACGUAGGGGGCAAGCGUUAUCCGGAUUUACUGGGUGUAAAGGGAGCGUAGACGGUAGAGCAAGUCUGAAGUGAAAGCCCGCGGCUCAACUGCGGGACUGCUUUGGAAACUGUUCAACUGGAGUGCUGGAGAGGUAAGCGGAAUUCCUAGUGUAGCGGUGAAAUGCGUAGAUAUUAGGAGGAACACCAGUGGCGGAGGCGGCUUACUGGACGGUAACUGACGCUGAGGCUCGAAAGCGUGGGGAGCAAACAGGAUUGGAUACCCUGGUAGUCCACGCCGUAAACGAUGAAAACUAGGU